rnacentral:rRNA from 1 species
GACGUAGGGCGCGAGCGUUGUCCGGAUUUAUUGGGCGUAAAGAGCUCGUAGGCGGCGCGGUAAGUCGGGUGUGAAAUCUCGGAGCUUAACUCCGAAACUGCAUUCGAUACUGCCGUGCUUUGAGGACUGGGAGAGGAGACUGGAAUUUACGGUGUAGCGGUGAAAAUGCGUAGAUAUCGUAAGGAAGACCAGUGGCGAAGG